rnacentral:rRNA from 1 species
UACGAAGGGGGCUAGCGUUGUUCGGAAUUACUGGGCGUAAAGCGCACGUAGGCGGAUAUUUAAGUCAGGGGUGAAAUCCCGGGGCUCAACCCCGGAACUGCCUUUGAUACUGGGUAUCUCGAGUCCGAGGGAGGUGAGUGGAAUUCCGAGUGUAGAGGUGAAAUUCGUAGAUAUUCGGAGGAACACCAGUGGCGAAGGCGGCUCACUGGCUCGGUACUGACGCUGAGGUGCGAAAGCGUGGGGAGCAAACAGG